rnacentral:rRNA from 2 species
UUACCAUGCAGUCGAACGAUGAAGCCCAGCUUGCUGGGUGGAUUAGUGGCGAACGGGUGAGUAACACGUGAGUAACCUGCCCUUAACUCUGGGAUAAGCCUGGGAAACUGGGUCUAAUACCGGAUAGGAGCGCCCACCGCAUGGUGGGUGUUGGAAAGAUUUAUCGGUUUUGGAUGGACUCGCGGCCUAUCAGCUUGUUGGUGAGGUAAUGGCUCACCAAGGCGACGACGGGUAGCCGGCCUGAGAGGGUGACCGGCCACACUGGGACUGAGACACGGCCCAGACUCCUACGGGAGGCAGCAGUGGGGAAUAUUGCACAAUGGGCGAAAGCCUGAUGCAGCGACGCCGCGUGAGGGAUGACGGCCUUCGGGUUGUAAACCUCUUUCAGUAGGGAAGAAGCGAAAGUGACGGUACCUGCAGAAGAAGCACCGGCUAACUACGUGCCAGCAGCCGCGGUAAUACGUAGGGUGCGAGCGUUAUCCGGAAUUAUUGGGCGUAAAGAGCUCGUAGGCGGUUUGUCGCGUCUGUCGUGAAAGUCCGGGGCUUAACCCCGGAUCUGCGGUGGGUACGGGCAGACUAGAGUGCAGUAGGGGAGACUGGAAUUCCUGGUGUAGCGGUGGAAUGCGCAGAUAUCAGGAGGAACACCGAUGGCGAAGGCAGGUCUCUGGGCUGUAACUGACGCUGAGGAGCGAAAGCAUGGGGAGCGAACAGGAUUAGAUACCCUGGUAGUCCAUGCCGUAAACGUUGGGCACUAGGUGUGGGGACCAUUCCACGGUUUCCGCGCCGCAGCUAACGCAUUAAGUGCCCCGCCUGGGGAGUACGGCCGCAAGGCUAAAACUCAAAGGAAUUGACGGGGGCCCGCACAAGCGGCGGAGCAUGCGGAUUAAUUCGAUGCAACGCGAAGAACCUUACCAAGGCUUGACAUGUUCUCGAUCGCCGUAGAGAUACGGUUUCCCCUUUGGGGCGGGUUCACCAGUGGUGCAUGGGUUGUCGUCAGCUCGUGUCGUGAGAUGUUGGGUUAAGUCCCGCAA